rnacentral:rRNA from 1 species
UACGAAGGGGGCUAGCGUUGCUCGGAAUCACUGGGCGUAAAGGGUGCGUAGGCGGGGCUUUAAGUCAGGGGUGAAAUCCUGGAGCUCAACUCCAGAACUGCCUUUGAUACUGAGGAUCUUGAGUACGGGAGAGGUGAGUGGAACUGCGAGUGUAGAGGUGAAAUUCGUAGAUAUUCGCAAGAACACCAGUGGCGAAGGCGGCUCACUGGCCCGUAACUGACGCUGAGGCACGAAAGCGUGGGGAGCAAACGGG